ACGAAGACUGACGCUCAGGUGCGAAAGCGUGGGGAGCAAACAGGAUUAGAUACCCUGGUAGUCCACGCCGUAAACGAUGUCGACUUGGAGGUUGUGCCCUUGAGGCGUGGCUUCCGGAGCUAACGCGUUAAGUCGACCGCCUGGGGAGUACGGCCGCAAGGUUAAAACUCAAAUGAAUUGACGGGGGCCCGCACAAGCGGUGGAGCAUGUGGUUUAAUUCGAUGCAACGCGAAGAACCUUACCUGGUCUUGACAUCCACGGAAGUUUUCAGAGAUGAGAAUGUGCCUUCGGGAACCGUGAGACAGGUGCUGCAUGGCUGUCGUCAGCUCGUGUUGUGAAAUGUUGGGUUAAGUCCCGCAACGAGCGCAACCCUUAUCCUUUGUUGCCAGCGGUCCGGCCGGGAACUCAAAGGAGACUGCCAGUGAUAAACUGGAGGAAG
rnacentral:rRNA from 1 species